rnacentral:lncRNA from 1 species
CAGCCAAUUUCAGGUGCAUAUAUAUAUAUAUAUAUAUAUAUAUAUAUAUAUAUAUAUAUAUAUAUAUAUAUAUAUAUAUAUAUAUAUAUCCCUUGGGUUUGAGUCCCUAGCUAACUUGGAGCAUUGAACGUUUUGUUAAAUAUAGUUAGUUUCUUUAGUUUACUGGCAAUUGUGAUAAGCAGAGCAGAUAUGUACUUGGUUAGUAGCUGGCAUGAUGUGAUUUACUAAUAAUUAAUUUGGAAAAAGUAGACCUGGAGAUAGUAUGCCUCCCUGCUUUCUGAGGAUAGUGACUUGUGCCGUGACCAAAUUCAAUAGGUUUAUAUGAUAAGCUUCUUCAUAUAUGUUACUUUUCACCUCUGUUUAUAGAACUCUGGUUGUGUUAACAAUUUGAUACGUCCUUAAAGACCUUGUGGUUGAUUGCCAUGUCUGCAUGAUAAUUGCUUGCUGAAGUAACUGGUCCUUCAACUGUAGUUAGGGAGAUCCAGAAUCUUCAUGUACUUAAAUCAUGGCAUUCACCUGGAGAUAGUUUUCCUCCCUGUUUUGUGCAACUGACUGUGGUGAUAUACUGUGGCCAAAUUGAAUGAGCUUAUAUGAUUAACUUCUUCAUCCAUAAUUUCAGUUUGGUUUAUGGAAAUUGAACUACUAUUGUGUUAACACACAUGAGUCAUAUUUAGGCUUCACAUUUUGUAGUUUUAUGCAGGUUGUCAGAUAAAUUCUUCUCGGCAUCUUAUAUUCUAUAUCGUAUACAGGUGCCUCGGUCGUCCAAACAUUGUAAGGGACAUUCUAGGAUUUUAAUUUGACAUAAAAUCUGUAUUAUUUCUACAAUGUCUCAAGACUCUCAACAAGGCUGAGGUGAAUAUGCUGCAGCUAUGUGCUGGACAAUGUCGCCACCGCUGAAUUCGCCGGAAGAUAUCCGCCAUCCGAACGUGCUCCACCUGAGGUAUGUAACAUUAGCUUUUCCCAAAUUAUUCUGUAAAAUUUCAUCUACAAUCAUAAAAAGUACAGUUCCCCUUGGUCUGGUCUGAAAGACACACAUGGGUACAUAGGUUUUAGUGAUUGAAGAUAUUGCAAUGCUAUAUUGGUGAAUAAGUUCAUGAACAAAUGAAACUGGAAGAUACACCAGAUGGUCCAGAUAUCACAAAGAUAGUGGAGGAAGCGUAGUAGGUUUCUUUUCCAUUGCAUACUGUGAUCAGAACUAAUUAUUUGCCCUUGUGCUGUAGGAGUAGGACACACCUUUCUGCAGAUACGUGUCCACAUGCAUCAUGCUUUAAGUAUCUGCUUUCAUGGGGUAACUCACUCGGUAUGUUUCUUAAGAGGAUGUGACUAACUGGAAAAUAUUUUAUGGCUGACAACAUGAGUAAGCAUGUAAUAAAAGUUUAAGUUUUGGUGUUUGCUAAAUUUCGGUUCUGAUUUGGAAGAUACAUACAUUAUUUUUUGAGUUUGCUUUACUUAGAGUAUGAACUGAUGCUUUUCAAAGAUACACGUUCAAGCUGAAGAGUUAAGUGUAUUAGCUUGGCUUGGACUCGGGGGUUUGUCCAAACGUAGCUUUAUGGUUUUUACUCUACGUAUGCAAUUACAAUCUUCACAAAUAAGGAUGGAGAGGGGAAGAAAAAUGUUGGUGGACAAAAAAAGAAAGUGCCUAGAACGUGCAAGAAUUUUAAGCAGGUUGGCUUCCAUGAUAGCGUAAUUGCCCUAACAAUAACUAAGAAAACUACUGGUACUUUUCAUGGCCAUACAAUUUAUUUUUCUUUCAGAAAUGUUGAUACACACACAAACUUAUUUGUUUAUGUCAGACUGCAGGUCUUGUUCCAGCUCCAGGACGCAUUUCGGCACGACAACUUGGCGUUGAAGCUCAUGUGUUGGACGGAUUUUACAUGAACUUUGUGCUUUAUAUUUCCUAGAAGAUUAUCAUUUUAUUUCGGAAUAUUGUAGGUCUGUUGAAUAUUUAUAUCUGAAUAUUGUAUUUUUGAAAAUUUAUGUCUGAAUAUUCAUCAAAAUGGCCAUGGUGGAAUUUUGUUUCGCAAUGCAAGAAUAUUAUUUCUCACAGCAAGUUGUUUGCCGUAACCUCUCUUACGGACUCUUUUGGCACGGAAGUAGCUACGGAUGGAAGUGUAAAUCUGUGGUUGGUUAGUGGUGGGACCCUCAACCAAAUUCAAGGGGAGAGAGAUUAAUG